GCGAACAACAAAACCACGAAGACAACAACUGAAGAGCCGUAGUUGGCUGAGUCGUUUAAGCAGAAGUGCAGGACGAUGCCUUCUUAACACACAGAAAGAAAGGUAAUAGGUCUCAGUUGCAUACCACAUCCACCACAUAAGUUUUUUAAUGACAGAAUCAGAAGCAAACAUAACUAUAGAUAAAGUUGAAACCUUAACCGAAGUCAAGAAGUUGACGUCAGGUCUCAGUACUCCUAGCAGGCAGAGCUAAAGAGUAACUUCUCUCAAAGAACAAUGCAUCGGACACAGGCUUCAGGUCUAACUCCGGCUGCGGCGAUACCUGGGAGAGCAGUCCAGUAUGAGAAUAGGACACGGUAUUUUUUAUGAAGAAAUGCAACAAAGCAGACAGGUGAUAUUUCCACAGAAUCUGCAUUACCCUUUAGCAUCAGGAGAAUCAUCCCUGGCACGGACCGGUGACUUGCUAUAGCUGCGACCACGGGCUGGGGCUGGAGAAGCACUGCGGCGUCUUGGAGAGCGAUCACGAGGGCUGUAACUUCUGUUUGCAGAGUAGUUAGUUUCUAAGAGUUCAUUCCUUCAAUCAUAAUCCUAGGCAUAAAUGAGCACAAAGUAGAAGGCGCACAUAAGCAACAAUAGCAAAAAGUAAAAAAAUCAGGCACCCGAGCUUGUCAUGGUAGGUAAAAGAACUCUAAAGAACAAGCAACCAUUUUUAACAUAAACAGUAUACAACGAAAUGAACAGAGCUAACCUAAAAAAAAGACUUAAAAUACUGAAUGCAUUAACAAAAUUUGUUACCUUCUGCCAUAGCUCGGACUCCUACGGUACCUAGGACUGCGGCUGCGACUGCGGCUCCUGCUGCGACGCCUUCCACUGCCCAGACCACCAGAACCAAUACGCAGACGACAUU
rnacentral:lncRNA from 1 species